GCAUACUAUACAGUGCCGGUGAAUGCAGUGGUGACUAGCAAAGGUUCGACAUUCGACAAGUCGCUUGUGUCAAUGGUCCAUGCCUCGCCAUGGCAGUGGUGUCUAGGGCAGGUCGACCGUUGCUACAGCUGAUGAAAUCCAGCAUCUGCAACUCAGUUAACUUUACUACUCCUUGUAGACACCAGGAAUCAUUGAGUGAGGCUUUAACAAGAAUUACAAAGCGAGUAUCUUCCUCCAGUGCAAUCAAUUCCAAUAAUGAAUUCUUCGGAAACCUCAUGAAAAAUGAG